GAGUGAGUUGUGUCUGGGUCAUUGUUGCUAGGCAGAUUAAGCACUCCACAUCCAGAAGCUUCUGGAAUUGGGUGUGGUAUUUUUGGGUAUGCUCCAAUAGGCUACCUGUGGCUGGGGUCAGACUCCAUGAGGGCAAGCAGUCAGGACAGCUGCUUUGCAGGGGGCCACGUGCCCUGUGUGAAUUGGGAGAAGCUGAGCCCAGGAGCAGAAAGCAGGCUGUUGUCCCUAACCAUGAAGCGUUUUGCAGCAGAUGAACCCACCCAGAUGAUCAUUCCAACAGUGUUGUGAUAAGCAGUCCUGGAUGUUUUCUCAUGAAAGACAAUUGGGAGUUAUGAAGAUGAAGAAACUUCUGCACAGCUGUGUUUGGGGACCAGGGCUGCACUGAGACAUUGAGCAUCAUGUAAAGGUGAUGACAAUCUUCUUGUGGGCUGCCUUGUUAUCUGCUAAGGCAACAAAUGUCAAAUUGGAUUCACUCAGUGAUGUUGGGAUGCCCUGGAUUGAACAGGUAUGGAAAGAGUUGCCCUGCAAGAAAAAUUAUUUCUUCCAGAGCUUCUUUGACAGAACCACAGGUUUAUAUGAUAACACACAACCUAUCAGCGCUGCUGAAUAGCAGCGCGGAGCCAUCAGCCAUCUCACAGAUCUGGGGUCUAAUCUGAGCAGAACCUCACACAAUGUUACCAAACGAACAAGUGGAUUUCCAACCAGGCCAGAGCUGCACCAACCAUUAUUACAAGAAAUGUGUAAAUCUCAUUCAGAAAAUGACAGGAAUGACCUGGGGAGCUGAUGCAAAAACUCUGGACAUCUUCAUUCGCUCUUGUCUACUCUACUGCAGAGUACUACUCAUCUGUCUGGACACACAGCUCCCACACAUAGCUUGUCAACUCUCAACUUCACACUGGCACAGUAAAAUCAAUGGCACAACCCUGGCUUCCCACAUUGGCACACAUCUACUCACCCCAAAUUCAUCGCAACCUGAUAAUCCUUCAGAAUUCAUUGUAUCAGAAAGACAAGGAUGUUCCAAUAUAUGAAGACCUAAACAACAUAUUGAGAUUUCCACCAAAAUCCAGAAACCUUUUUGGCUUGCAGUGCAAGAGCUCAAAGACUUGGGGUUGUCCCCCAAAGAUCAAUGGCAAGCAAGAUGGUAGGAUGCCAACAUCCCAAACAAACAUCUCAUCAACGACCCAAUCAAAGAAUCCAGUGGUUUCAUUCCCAGGGAAAAUAUGGUCCACUUUGAACUGCAUCAUCAUAUGGAAGAGGUACCUACUUCCUCCCUAAAUGGGGACUGAGACCCAAUCUGUUACUGCAGAAACAGACUUCAAACUAUGGAAUGACUAAUCAACUAAUGUCCCAAACAAGUAUAGCCUGGUGAUAUCUCUGCCAUCUGCUCCGCAUCACCUCAGGCAAUCAACUGGAUUGCCAAUUUAGACUUGGACAAGUAACAUUGCUGAUUUUAAGCCAUACAAAAGAAAAAGAAAGGAGAAUAUGUGCAAUAUAAGUCUUCUGUUCUGAUGCUAACUUUAAUAUUUGUUAAAUAGAUAGCCGCUUAUUUUUGUUUAGAAUGUUUCCUUUUCUUUUCAUAGGACAGUAGCUUAUUUUGCAACUGAUAAUGUAAUCCAAGGAUCAGAAUAUUCAGAAGAUUCCAAUUUGUCUAGGAGAGCUAAACAGAACUUCUAACAGAGUGGAACAAAUGCUGUACUGACAUAUAUCCUGUGCAACCCCAGUGACUUAAGUGAAGUUGUACAGGAUGCAAAAAUUUGACAGAACUUAAAUUUAAAAUAAAGUUAAAUUUAUAGU